rnacentral:rRNA from 1 species
UACGUAUGGAGCAAGCGUUAUCCGGAUUUACUGGGUGUAAAGGGAGCGCAGGCGGCUUUGUAAGUCUGAUGUGAAAGGCCGGGGCUCAACCCCGGGACUGCAUUGGAAACUGUAAAGCUAGAGUGCCGGAGAGGUAAGCGGAAUUCCUAGUGUAGCGGUGAAAUGCGUAGAUAUUAGGAGGAACACCAGUGGCGAAGGCGGCUUACUGGACGGCAACUGACGCUGAGGCUCGAAAGCGUGGGGAGCAAACAGG